rnacentral:rRNA from 1 species
GAUGAACGCUGGCGGCGUGCCUAAUACAUGCAAGUCGAGCGAACAGAUGAGGAGCUUGCUCCUCUGACGUUAGCGGCGGACGGGUGAGUAACACGUGGAUAACCUACCUAUAAGACUGGGAUAACUUCGGGAAACCGGAGCUAAUACCGGAUAAUAUAUUGAACCGCAUGGUUCAAUAGUGAAAGACGGUUUUGCUGUCACUUAUAGAUGGAUCCGCGCCGCAUUAGCUAGUUGGUAAGGUAACGGCUUACCAAGGCAACGAUGCGUAGCCGACCGGAGAGACUGAUAGGCCACCUGGGAACUGAGACAGGGUCAAGACUCCUACGGGACGCAGCAGUAGGGAACCUUCCGCAAUGGGCGAGAGCCUGACGGAGCAACGCCGCGUGAGUUAUGAAGGUCUUCGGAUCGUAAAACUCUGUUAUUAGGGAAGAACAAAUGUGUAAGUAACCAUGCACGUCUUGACGGUACCUAAUCAGAAAGCCACGGCUAACUACGUG